UACGUAGGGGGCAAGCGUUGUCCGGAUUUAUUGGGCGUAAAGAGCGUGUAGGCGGCUUGGUAGGUCCGCUGUGAAAACUCGAGGCUCAACCUCGAGAUGUCGGCGGAAACCGCUUGGCUAGAGUCCGGAAGAAGAGAGUGGAAUUCCCGGUGUAGCGGUGAAAUGCGCAGAUAUCGGGAAGAACACCUAUGGCGAAGGCAGCUCUCUGGGACGGUACUGACGCUGAGACGCGAAAGCGUGGGGAGCGAACAGG
rnacentral:rRNA from 1 species